AAAGGGUCCGCAGGCGGGUUUAUAAGUCAGUGGUGAAAGCCUACAGCUCAACUGUAGAACUGCCAUUGAUACUGUAGAUCUUGAAUUCGGUCGAAGUGGGCGGAAUAUGACAUGUAGCGGUGAAAUGCUUAGAUAUGUCAUAGAACACCGAUAGCGAAGGCAGCUCACUAGGCCUGGAUUGACACUCAGGGACGAAAGCGUGGGGAGCAAACAGGAUUAGAUACCCUUGU
rnacentral:rRNA from 1 species